AGGGAAUCUUCCGCAAUGGGCGAGAGCCUGACGGAGCAACGCCGCGUGAGUGAUGAAGGUCUUCGGAUCGUAAAACUCUGUUAUUAGGGAAGAACAAAUGUGUAAGUAACUGUGCACGUCUUGACGGUACCUAAUCAGAAAGCCACGGCUAACUACGUGCCAGCAGCCGCGGUAAUACGUAGGUGGCAAGCGUUAUCCGGAAUUAUUGGGCGUAAAGCGCGCGUAAGCGGUUUCUUAAGUCUGAUGUGAAAGCCCACGGCUCAACCGUGGAGGGUCAUUGGAAACUGGGAAACUUGAGUGCAGAAGAGGAAAGUGGAAUUCCAUGUGUAGCGGUGAAAUGCGCAGAGAUAUGGAGGAACACCAGUGGCGAAGGCGACUUUCUGGUCUGUAACUGACGCUGAUGUGCGAAAGCGUGGGGGUCAAACAGGAUUAGAUACCCUGGUAGUCCACGCCGUAAACGAUGAGUGCUAAGUGUUAGGGGGUUUCCGCCCCUUAGUGCUGCAGCUAACGCAUUAAGCACUCCGCCUGGGGAGUACGACCGCAAGGUUG
rnacentral:rRNA from 1 species